rnacentral:lncRNA from 1 species
UAGCUAGGAGUCCGGCUGGUGGCACGGUGGUUCCAGUCACACGGGGCGGCUGCUGUGGUGCGAUGGUCCUAGCUGGGAGUCUGGCUGGUGGCACGGUGGUUCCAGUCACACGGGGCGGCUGCUGUGGUGCGAUAACAAGGGUUUGUUGUGGGUUCGUGGCGGCGAGAGAUGGUUGAGCCACCAUGUCGAUCGCUGGAUCGUGGGAGGAGUAGCUUUGGGCCGUCACGGAUUGAGUCAUUGCGUCGGUUUUGCUCCUUGUGCGCUUGCUUCUAACCAUG